AUUGAACGCUGGCGGAAUGCUUUACACAUGCAAGUCGAACGGCAGCACGGGUGCUUGCACCUGGUGGCGAGUGGCGAACGGGUGAGUAAUGCACCGGAACGUAUCCAAUAAUGGGGGAUAACGCACCGAAAGGUGUGCUAAUACCGCAUACGCCCUGAGGGGGAAAGCGGGGGAUCGUAAGACCUCGCGUUAAUGGAGCGGCCGAUGCCGGAUUAGCUAGUUGGUGAGGUAAAGGCUCACCAAGGCGACGAUCCGUAGCUGGUCUGAGAGGACGACCAGCCACACUGGAACUGAGACACGGUCCAGACUCCUACGGGAGGCAGCAGUGGGGAAUUUUGGACAAUGGGCGCAAGCCUGAUCCAGCCAUUCCGCGUGAGUGAAGAAGGCCUCGGUUGUAAAGACGUCUUCGGUUGGGGGUAAGGAAAAGUUUAGGACACAGGAUAAUACCUUAGUGUAGA
rnacentral:rRNA from 1 species